CCUACGGGGCGCUGCAGUGAGGAAUAUUGGUCAAUGGGCGGGAGCCUGAACCAGCCAAGCCGCGUGAGGGAAGAAGGUACAGCGUAUCGUAAACCUCUUUUGUCAGGGAACAAAGGCGGGGACUAGUCCCCGGAUGAGGGUACCUGAAGAAAAAGCAUCGGCUAACUCCGUGCCAGCAGCCGCGGUAAUACGGAGGAUGCGAGCGUUAUCCGGAUUUCUUGGGUUUAAAGGGUGGGCAGGCGGUCUGUUAAGUCAGCGGUCAAAGCCCGGGGCUCAACCCCGGCCCGCCGUUGAAACUGGCAGUCUCGAGUUGGAGAGAAGUAUGCGGAAUGCGCGGUGUAGCGGUGAAAUGCAUAGAUAUCGCGCAGAACUCCGAUUGCGAAGGCAGCAUGCCGGCUCCACACUGACGCUGAGGCACGAAAGCGUGGGUAUCGAACAGGAUUAGAUACCCCAGUAGUC
rnacentral:rRNA from 1 species